rnacentral:rRNA from 1 species
UACGUAGGGUGCAAGCGUUAAUCGGAAUUACUGGGCGUAAAGCGUGCGCAGGCGGCUUUGCAAGACAGAUGUGAAAUCCCCGGGCUCAACCUGGGAACUGCAUUUGUGACUGCAAGGCUGGAGUACGGUAGAGGGGGAUGGAAUUCCGCGUGUAGCAGUGAAAUGCGUAGAUAUGCGGAGGAACACCGAUGGCGAAGGCAGCCCCCUGGGCUAACACUGACGCUCAGGCACGAAAGCGUGGGGAGCGAACAGG